GCCUCUGGAGAAUCCCGUUCACGGGUGCCGAAGGGGCAAGGCGGCCGAAUGGCCCGCUGAAACUCUCAGGCAAAAGGACAGAGCA
rnacentral:ncRNA from 1 species